rnacentral:misc_RNA from 1 species
GGAAGGAUCAUUACCGUAAAACAAAAUAUCAAAAAUUGAUAUUAAAACAAAAUGCACUCUGUCAGUGGAGAGAUCCAGCACACAGUAGUGGUGGGAAAAUGUCCCAUGUCUCGUGGGUAAAUCCUGCUGCUGCUGCUCGUGUGUUAAUCUGCUGUUCACAGAGUUGCGACUCACCACGGCAAAGUCUCUAUAUGACUGUGAGACGCUGUGGCAUGUAGUCACCAUUGUUGUGCUACAUGGAAAAAAGUCGUGCUCACCACGCUCUGGUAUGGUGGAUGUGGACUGAGACAAGUAAUGUUCAUGUGUCUCAACUCACAGGCGAAGCCAAAGCAGGCAGUGAGCACGGGUAUUUGCUCCCUCCCAGGAGUAAUCUUCUCGAAAUGUAUGUGAGAAGGCGUGAAACUGGGAGGUGGGCUAUGCCACCAUAAUUUUGAAACUUGAUCAUACAACAAGUGAAAAAUAUUUAUAAAAUAUCAACCUCGAGUGGUGGAUCACUCGGCUCGUGGGUCGAUGAAGAACGCAGCUAACUGCGUGCAGACGUGUGAACUGCAGGACACAUGAACACCGACGUUUUGAACGCAUAUGGCGGCCUGACAUAAAUGUCAGGCCAUGUCUGGCUGAGGGUCGGAUAUGAACCAACAACCAAAGUUGCCCAUGUAAGGGGAAGAAGAUGUUUGUUUUCUUCUCUGGGUACUAAUCGCCAGGUCUGCAUGCAAGUGUAGGCCUGGUUAGAAUGGAAUGAGGUGAUGUCCUCAUGAAACGGAUCUGUGAUUAUUCUCAAGUCCGUGAGGCAUUUACUCUCAUUUGAAAUGAGUUGUCUUAAGGCAACAAGAAUUUCUCAUAGUUGCGACCUCAGAGCAGGCAAGAUUACCCGCUAAAUUUAAGCAUAUUAAUAAGCGGAGGAAAAGAAACUAACAAGGAUUCCCUUAGUAACGGCGAGCGAAAAGGGAAGAGCCCAGCGCUGAAUCUGGCAUCCCCCGGGUGUCAAGAAAUGUGGCGUUUGGGACGAGACAUUGCCUGAACGUGAUGGUUAUCCAAGUCCCUCUUGAACGGGGCCAUCGCCCAUGGAGGGUGCUAGGCCCGUACGAUAGCCUUGUUGUUCAGUGCGUCUUGUCCGUAGAGUCGGGUUGCUUGGGAGUGCAGCCCAAAUCAGGUGGUAAACUCCAUCUAAGACUAAAUAUGACCACGAGACCGAUAGCGAACAAGUACCGUGAGGGAAAGUUGAAAAGAACUUUGAAGAGAGAGUUCAAUAGUACGUGAAACCUCUCGGGGGUAAGCGGGCAGAACCUGCAAGUAUUGAUGGGAGAUUCAGGCUUGGUACUGGUGACUGGGAGUGCUUAGUUAGGCUGGGAUUCGUUCUUGGCUGGUGUGUGCUUCUUGAUUUGCCGGUACUGCGCCGCAUUUCUCCUUAUCAUCCGGGUUGCAUGCAACUAAAUGGUGUUCUAGGUGCUGGGGUACUGCAAAUCCUCGUGGUUUGAGUCCUGGUUACCGGAUACUGUUGUGGUUGUUGAAAUCGAGUGAACAGGCGUUUGUCGCGGUCACAGGUUCUGGCGAGCAGGGUGCACAUGAUAUGUGGACGGGUAACCGUAGCAUGUUGUGUGUGCUGGUUGUCAGCCGGAGCUUUUGUGGCUCUGUUCAGAGAAUUGCAAUCUAAAACAUGCGUGGUCUGCCUGUCCCGUCUUGAAACACGGACCAAGGAGUCUAACAUGUAUGCGAGUCAUUGAGACUUGAAACUCAAAGGCGUAAUGAAAGUGAAGAUCCGUUUACACGGAUUGAGGAGAGAUCAUGGCAAUACUUGGGAUUCCGCAAGGUUUCCCGAGUACUAAAUUGUAUGCGCAUCUCCUGGACGUCUAUACCUCUGAAGGUGGGGCGUACCUAGAGCAUACACGUUGGGACCCGAAAGAUGGUGAACUAUGCCUGGUCAGAACGAAGCCAGGGGAAACCCUGGUGGAGGUUCGUAGCGAUUCUGACGUGCAAAUCGAUCGUCGGAACUGGGUAUAGGGGCGAAAGACUAAUCGAACCAUCUAGUAGCUGGUUCCCUC